GACGAACGCUGGCGGCGUGCUUAACACAUGCAAGUCGAACGGAAAGGCCCCGCUUUUGUGGGGUGCUCGAGUGGCGAACGGGUGUGUAACACGUGAGUAACCCGCCCUUGACUGUGGUAUAACUUCAGGAAACUGGGGAUAAUACCGGACAGCAUCUCCCGCUGCGUGGUGGGGGUGGGAAAGUUUAGGCGGUUGGGGAUGGACUCGCGGCUUAUCAGCUUGUUGGUGGGGUAGUGGCUUACCAAGGCGUUGACGGGUAGCCGGCCUGAGAGGGUGACCGGCCACAUUGGGCCUGAGAUACGGCCCGGACUCCUACGGGAGGCAGCGGUGGGGAAUAUUGCACAAUGGGCGGAAGCCUGAUGCACCAACGCCGCGGGCGGGAUGACGGCCUUCGGGUUGUAACCCGCUUUCGCCUGUGACGAGGCGUGAGUGACGGUAAUGGGUGAAGAAGCACCGGCUAACUACGUG
rnacentral:rRNA from 1 species